UUUGUGAAUUACCAAAUUUAUCUCCUCCAAGGGACAUGCCAUCAAGCUCACAGUUUCUUGAGAUGAGUGAAAUGGAUGGCAUGCUUCCAUUUGCAAGCAAUUCCGGCUAUCCAUUGCAGCAAAUUCCAACUGUUCCUCCACAGUGGAAUGCAAGAGAUGACAUGCCUGGUAUAAACUUUGGAGGAGCUACACAAUUGGGACCAAAUAUUGGUGCCCCUGCAAAUGCUUUGCCUCCUUU